CUACGGGUCGCACCAGUUAAGAAUCUUCUGCAAUGCGCGCAAGCGUGACAGAGCGAGCCAAAGUGCGUUUCAAAUUGAAACGCUUUUUUCAGAUGUAAAAAGUCUGGAGAAUAAGGACUGGGUAAGACGAGUGCCAGCCGCCGCGGUAAUACUCGCGGUCCAAAUCGCAUCCAUUUUUAUUGGGUCUAAAACAUCCGUAGCCUGUUUGGUAAGUUCCUUGUGAAAUUCUAUGUCUCAAGCAUAGAGCGUGCAAGGAGUACUGCCUCGCUAGAGACUGGAAGACGUGGGAAGUACGUUCGAAGUAGCGGUAAAAUGUUUUAAUCUCGAGCGGACUCACAAUAGCGAAGGCAUCCUACGAGGACAGUUCUGACAGUAAGGGAUGAAGGCUAGGGGCGCAAAACGGAUUAGAUACCCGGGUAGUC
rnacentral:rRNA from 1 species